rnacentral:rRNA from 1 species
UACGGGGGGAGCAAGCGUUGUUCGGAUUUACUGGGCGUAAAGGGCGCGUAGGCGGCGUGACAAGUCACUUGUGAAAUCUCCGGGCUUAACUCGGAGCGGUCAAGUGAUACUGUCGUGCUAGAGUGCGGAAGGGGCUACUGGAAUUCUCGGUGUAGCGGUGAAAUGCGUAGAUAUCGAGAGGAACACCUGCGGCGAAGGCGGGUAGCUGGGCCGACACUGACGCUGAGGCGCGAAAGCUAGGGGAGCGAACGGG